rnacentral:rRNA from 1 species
GAAUCUUCGGCAAUGGACGAAAGUCUGACCGAGCAACGCCGCGUGAGUGAAGAAGGUUUUCGGAUCGUAAAACUCUGUUGUUAGAGAAGAACAAGGACGUUAGUAACUGAACGUCCCCUGACGGUAUCUAACCAGAAAGCCACGGCUAACUACGUGCCAGCAGCCGCGGUAAUACGUAGGUGGCAAGCGUUGUCCGGAUUUAUUGGGCGUAAAGCGAGCGCAGGCGGUUUCUUAAGUCUGAUGUGAAAGCCCCCGGCUCAACCGGGGAGGGUCAUUGGAAACUGGGAGGCUUGAGUGCAGAAGAGGAGAGUGGAAUUCCAUGUGUAGCGGUGAAAUGCGUAGAUAUAUGGAGGAACACCAGUGGCGAAGGCGGCUCUCUGGUCUGUAACUGACGCUGAGGCUCGAAAGCGUGGGGAGCAAACAGGAUUAGAUACCCUGGUAGUCCACGCCGUAAACGAUGAGUGCUAAGUGUUGGAGGGUUUCCGCCCUUCAGUGCUGCAGCA